rnacentral:lncRNA from 1 species
GUUGUAGUGUAUGAUUGGUGGAAGUAUGUUGGUAGUGUAUGAUUGAUGGUAUGUGGUAGUGUAUUGAUUGGUGGAAGGUAUGUGGUGUUGUAUUAUUGGUGGAAGGUAUGUGGUGUGUAGAUUGGUGGAAGGUAUGUUGUAGUGUAUGAUUGGUGGAAGGUAUGUUGGUAGUGUAUGAUUGGUGGAAGGUAUGUUGGUAGUGUAUGAUUGGUGGAAGGUAUGUUGGUAUUGUAUUAUUGGUGGAAGGCAUGUUGGUAGUGUAUGAUUGGUGGAAGGUAUGUUGGUAGUGUAUGAUUGGUUGAAGGUAUGUUAGUAGUGUAUGAUUGGUGGAAGGUAUGUUGGUAGUGUGUUGGUAGUGCAUGAUUGGUGGAAGGUAUGUUGGUAUUGUAUUAUUGGUGGAAGGUAUGUUGGUAGUGUAUGAUUGGUGGAAUGUAUGAUGGUAGUGUAUGAUUGGUGGAAGGUAUGUUGGUUGU